rnacentral:rRNA from 1 species
CAGCAGCGCGGUAAUACCGGCGGCCCGAGUGGCGGUCACUAUUAUUGGGCUUAAAGCGUCCGUAGCCGGGUUGGGAAGUCCUCCGGGAAAUCUGGCCGCUUAACGGUCAGAAUGCCGGAGGAUACUCCCAGCCUAGGGAGCGGGAGAGGCCGAGGGUAUUCCCGGAGUAGGGGUGAAAUCCUAUAAUCCCGGGAGGACCACCUGUGGCGAAGGCGCUCGGCUGGGACGCGUCCGACGGUGAGGGACGAAGGCCAGGGGAGCAAACCGGAUUAGAUACCCGGGUAGUCCUGGCUGUAAACGAUGCGGACUUUGUGUCGGACAAGCUAUGAGCUUGUCCGGUGCCGGAGGGAAACCGUUAAGUCCGCCGCCUGGGGAGUACGGCCGCAAGGCUGAAACUUAAAGGAAUUGGCGGG